UUUAAGUUAACUAUGACUUUCCGUUCCAACUUUAAUCGUCCAUCUUAUUUGAAAUUUUUUUUAUAAUUAGUAUUUUUUGUUAUUAUGAGAUGAUAAAAUAUGAAUAGCACUUUAUUCGUGACUUAUGUUUUUAAUUUUUUUUUAAAAAAAUUUAAAUAAAACGGAUAAUCAAAAUUAGGAAAAAAAAUAGCUUCACUUAAA
rfam:Oryza barthii chromosome 4, whole genome shotgun sequence.